GGUUCCAUAAUGUAGCCGUUAGCACGUCUGCUUUACACGCAGAAGGUCCUAGGUUCACGCCCCAAUGGAGCCA
rfam:Pteropus alecto contig49424, whole genome shotgun sequence.